rnacentral:rRNA from 1 species
GACGAACGCUGGCGGCGUGCUUAACACAUGCAAGUCGAACGGAAAGGCCCUGCUUUUGUGGGGUGCUCGAGUGGCGAACGGGUGAGUAACACGUGAGUAACCUGCCCUUGACUUUGGGAUAACUUCAGGAAACUGGGGCUAAUACCGGAUAGGAGCUCCUGCUGCAUGGUGGGGGUUGGAAAGUUUCGGCGGUUGGGGAUGGACUCGCGGCUUAUCAGCUUGUUGGUGGGGUAGUGGCUUACCAAGGCUUUGACGGGUAGCCGGCCUGAGAGGGUGACCGGCCACAUUGGGACUGAGAUACGGCCCAGACUCCUACGUGAGGCAGCAGUGGGGAAUAUUGCACAAUGGGCGGAAGCCUGAUGCAGCAACGCCGCGUGCGGGAUGACGGCCUUCGGGUUGUAAACCGCUUUCGCCUGUGACGAAGCGUGAGUGACGGCAAUGGGUAAAGAAGCACCGGCUAACUACGUG